GUAGGGCCAACCCAGGGGAACUCAGGUGUAUGCAAUGAGUCUGAGUGACAGGAAGGGCUGGGGCCAGGAUCCACCCCUUCCCAGACCUCAUUUAAGGGUUCCCAGUGGAGGUGAGGGAUUCUUGAUGGGGACUCCUAUCUACCUGAGGCCUUCUAAAGUCUUUAAACAGUACUACAAGAUAGUGAAAAUACCCUGCAGAACCCCUCCAUGGAUAGCAGCCUCACAGUACAACUGCAGCAUCCACAAGUGGGAGGACGUGGAGGGCCCAAGUCAGAGAUCAAGUCAUACUAACACAACUAUCAGUGGUUUGGAUGAUGAGUUUCCUCCUGAAAGGACCUGGUCCUUUUGGUGCCAGGACCAGGUGACACCGAUGGCUCUGCAGAUUUCUCCACCAUUUUCCUCCUUGUAGAUCCCAGCUGGCUCUGUGGAGGAGGUAUGCAUCAGCCAGAGAGCACAAACUGCCAUGAAGCUGAGCCUCUAUGGACGGCAGUGUCCUCAGAGCUUCAAGCUGUAAUUUAAGAACCAGUCGCAAGAGCUCUGUAGACCUUAAAUAUGAUCCUACAGAGCCAUAAUUAAGCAUCUGACUGAUCAGAAAAUAUUUAAUGCUUGCAACAGGUUUUCCUUCUCAGCCCCAUUAGAUAAAGCGAUACUGGUGGGAAAGUCCAGGGAGGCCGUUACCAGAGUUCAGCAGAAGGGCUAACGAGUCAGCAAACAAUGUUCCUUUUAGGCCCCGGGCUUCGGGAGUCCCAAAUUCCCAACAUUAGAACUAACACAUUUUAAAUUACUUCCCAAGUCCCAGCACUGGACUAUGGUUACGUUUUGGAGAGCAGCCAAGAGGUAGCUUAGGGCUGGUAACGAAUGCGGGCUGUGCUGUCCCAGUGGUGCUGCCCUAUGGGCCAGCCAUGGCCUAGGGUGCUCCAGGGCCAGCAGUGCCAGUGGGAGAGGGAAGGGAUUGUUGAGAUUGUCCCAGUCUGCUCUGCUUGGUGCAGCCUCGUCUUGAGCACUGGAUGAAGGACAUAAAGAGAGGGCAAGAGAUGUGAGGAGCAGCUGAGACCCCUUCAUUUGUUUGGCUCAGAGAAGAGGAGGCUGAGGGGAGGCCUUGUGGUGCCCAGCAGCUCUUCGUGGCCCUGCAGCUCCUCAUGGUGACCCUACAUCUCCUUCAUGGCAGCCCAACAGCUCCUUCAUGGCAGCCCAAAAGCUCCUCAUGGUGUCCCUACAUCUAUUUCAUAGCAGCCCUACAGCUCCUCAUGGAGGAAAGCAAGAGCUGUGUGGCCACAGCCCUACCACGGAUGGCCCUGCCAGCCUUCCCAUGAAGUGCCUACCCCCCCAGCCUUCCUAACGAAGGGGAAGCCCAUCCUGCCUCAUUAGGGGACUGGGAACAGCAGCAUUGUUUCCUGCAGGAUGGCUCCAACACACUGCUGGCUUGUGCUGGGGAUGCUGGAGCAGCGUGUGUUAAAUCAGGAGCCAGUGAAGUCCUUCUGCUGCAGAAUGCAGCCCAAUACCCUGCACAACUCCAUCACUUUGAGAUGCUCCACUGAGUGGUGUUGCGUAGCAGGAC
ensembl:lncRNA